CUGCAGAGCUGCAAUGAUGUUGGACCGCAACCAGGCUUUGUGAUUGGUUGAUGAUAACAAUAAAAGACAAUGAACUAUAGGGUAGUAUAGAAAUUAGAACGAAUCAUAAACACUGAUCACUGUCGUUUCAUGAAGCCAAUCACAAAACACGAUCAGUUUUACAGAGUGGACUUUCGUCGACGCAGCAUAAAAAUAGUGCGGGCUCGUGAGCUUUUUCCCGCAAAUUUUGCUUUUCGAUGUUUGGCUUACAAUUUCUAAGGAUGUUGAAGUUUACAGCAUUGUGAUUCACUGUUUUUUUGAAAGCAUCUGGGGUUUUUUUGUUGGAAGUUCUAGGCUAACUCUUCAACAACCUAAUAACUGUUUUUAAAGCAAAGCAAUUGAAAGGAAAACUUAUAUUUUCAUACGAAGAAGAUGAGUGGCAAUAUUUAUGUUGGACUGUUUUGAGCAGAUGCUUCGAAGAACAUGAUAUGAUCGGACCUUGUAUCUUAAAAGUGUACUUCGAACAGCCGAAGUGGUAAAUUUUGUUACCCGGUGUGUUGGGCAUCAUAAUUCACAGGAAUAGUACACAGCGGCGUUUAAACUGGCUAUGAAAUAUCCUGAAUACUUCGUCGAGUUCUCUACCGCCA